GACGGGACCCGCACAAGCGGUGGAUGAUGUGGUUUAAUUCGAUGCAACGCGAAAACCUUACCACCUUUGACAUGUACGGAACCCUCCAGAGAUGGAGGGGUGCUCGAAAGAGAGCCGUAACACAGGUGCUGCAUGGCUGUCGUCAGCUCGUGUCGUGAGAUGUUGGGUUAAGUCCCGCAACGAGCGCAACCCUUGUCAUUAGUUGCUACAUUUAGUUGGGCACUCUAAUGAGACUGCCGGUGACAAACCGGAGGAAGGUGGGGAUGACGUCAAGUCCUCAUGGCCCUUAUAGGUGGGGCUACACACGUCAUACAAUGGCCGGUACAAAGGGCUGCCAACCCGCGAGGGGGAGCCAAUCCCAUAAAACCGGUCGUAGUCCGGAUCGCAGUCUGCAACUCGACUGCGUGAAGUCGGAAUCGCUAGUAAUCGUGGAUCAGAAUGUCACGGUGAAUACGUUCCCGGGUCUU
rnacentral:rRNA from 1 species